AUGUGCCACGCGCAUACUGCGGUUACUCGCGCCGCCCGUACCCACCUUGCGACUGCUCGCUACGCAGCGUUGGCC
rnacentral:sRNA from 1 species